AGCGAACGCUGGCGGCAGGCCUAACACAUGCAAGUCGAACGAACUCUUCGGAGUUAGUGGCGGACGGGUGGGUAACACGUGGGAACUUGCCUUUUGGUUCGGAAUAACUCAGGGAAACUUGUGCUCAUACCGAAUGUGCCCUUCGGGGGAAAGAUUUAUCGCCAUUAGAGCGGGCCGCGUCUGAUUAGCUAGUUGGUGAGGUAACGGCUCACCAAGGCGACGAUCAGGAGCUGGUCUGAGAGGAUGACCAGCCACACUGGGACUGAGACACGGCCCAGACUCCUACGGGAGGGAGCAGUGGGGAAUCUUGCGCAAUGGGCGAAAGCCUGACGCAGCCAUGCCGCGUGAAUGAUGAAGGUCUUAGGAUUGUAAAAUUCUUUCACCGGGGACGAUAAUGACGGUACCCGGAGAAGAAGCCCCGGCUAACUUCGUG
rnacentral:rRNA from 1 species